rnacentral:lncRNA from 1 species
GACAAUGUGGCCUCUGAGAGCAAUGGGAAGAAACGGCCCUGUUCUAACUGUGGUUGGGAAUUGCACGUGGAGAUGGUCGAAUAAUUGUCAUGAAUUUCAUCACUUAGAAUCUUUAUGAAUAUACCACAUGACUCAACUUUAAAGGAAAGACUUCCUUUUAAGAAGCAAAGGAUGUUUGAUCAAAGAGAAGGAAUGCAAAGAAUCAAUGAUUAUAGAUAAAGUGAUGUUACCCAAAAAACUCAGGAGAUCUAGAUUCAAGUUGGAGUUUGAUCCUGUAUUUACUUUGUGACCUGGAACAAAUCAGCGUAACUUCUGAGACCUUCAAUUUCUCUGUUUGUAAAAUAAGAAUGAUAAAUCCACCACACCACAAUUCUAUGAGGAUUCAGAGAGGUUUUAUGAAAUGGUUGUACAAACUUCAAGGCACUACAAAUGACAAUAUUUUAUAGUGAGGCAUAACCUGCAGCCGCCUGAUUUCAAACUGAGGAAGAUAUACAUACAGCCUAGAGUCAUAUCAAAAGAGGAGACACUAUACUUCACCGUUAUUCAUUCAAAAUCAAAAAGAAUUUAAUCUACACCCCUCUGAAUAUCACCUUUUGAUGGGUGAUACACAGCAUGUGUUAGAAAGGCACAAGCUCUAGCUACAGUAGGAAAACAACUUGUCAAAAAGUGAAAAAUUCAGGAAAAGAUGAUUUUUUUUGCCUUAAAAAUAUUGUUUGAUGAAAGUUGGCCAAACUGAUUUAUAAGCAAAGCCCAUAUGAAGCCCAUGAGAGACCUCUCUCUACACACCCCUACCAUAAU